rnacentral:rRNA from 1 species
AUUGCACAAUGGGCGGAAGCCUGAUGCAGCAACGCCGCGUGCGGGAUGACGGCCUUCGGGUUGUAAACCGCUUUCGCCUGUGACGAAGCGUGAGUGACGGUAAUGGGUAAAGAAGCACCGGCUAACUACGCGCCAGCAGCCGCGGUGAUACGUAGGGUGCGGGCGUUGUCCGGAUUUAUUGGGCGUAAAGGGCUCGUAGGUGGUUGAUCGCGUCGGAAGUGUAAUCUUGGGGCUUAACCCUGAGCGUGCUUUCGAUACGGGUUGACUUGAGGAAGGUAGGGGAGAAUGGAAUUCCUGGUGGAGCGGUGGAAUGCGCAGAUAUCAGGAGGAACACCAGUGGCGAAGGCGGUUCUCUGGGCCUUUCCUGACGCUGAGGAGCGAAAGCGUGGGGAGCGAACAGGCUUAGAUACCCUGGUAGUCCACGCUGUAAACGGUGGGUACUAGGUGUGGGGUCCAUUCCACGGGUUCCGUGCCGUAGCUAACGCUUU